rnacentral:rRNA from 1 species
GCCUGAACGCUGGCGGCGUGGCUAAGACAUGCAAGUCGCACGGACGUAGCAAUACGUUAGUGGCGAACGGGUGGAGUAAUGAAUCGCUCAUGUGCCCCGGACUUUGGGAUAGCUGUCCGAAAGGAUAGGUAAUACCAGAUGAUAUAACUUUGUCGCAUGACAGAGUUCUCAAAGGUCCGCCGGUCUGGGAGCAGGCGAUUUCGUAUCAGCUAGUUGGGUAGGUAACGGCUCACCAAGGCGAUGACGCGUAGCCGGACU